rnacentral:lncRNA from 1 species
UUUUUUUUUUCUUUGACACAAAGUAAAAUUAUAAUUAAUAUUGAAUAAAGUAAAAAUGAACUCCUGAGUUCCAGUCCCUUAUGUAACACACCUGGUUUGUGGCAGGCACUCAGGAAAUAUUAGUUGCAUGAACGAAGGCUGCAUUUUCAUUAGAACAACAUGCAGUUCAACCCCUUCAUGUUUCAAUGAGGGUUCAGAUACCCAGAGGGCUAUGCUAUCAUCCUGGAGCCCACUCUGCUAACAAUUAGCAGAACGGAAGCCUUAAUUUCCAGAAUCUAGUGAACUUGAUGAGUCAAGACUAUUGCAAUUGGAAAUCUGUUCUCCUCUGCUGCUGCAUUCCCUGCUUAAUACUCAAGCCAGAAACCAGGAAGGCUGUGGCUUGCCUUUUCACUUCUUGUGUCCUGUUUAAGAAAUAUCUACUAUCCCAAGCAUCUGGCAUCUUUCUUGACACAUGUAGCAGUUGCUUUUUGACAGCUUGCUUCUUCAGUGAAUGAAUAAAUUAAUAAAGAGAAAUGUGAUGUUCAGUGAUCCAUUUUGCAGAUUGCAAACUCCUAGAGAAGGGCUCAACAGUGAGUGCUGAGGCUGCACAGAGGAGGAAGGCAGCACAAUGAUGGAAGGCUUCCUAAAGAGAUAACACUAACAAAGUUGACCUUAGAAUUGGAGUGCCUGGGUUAGAACCCUGCUGGUACCACCUGCUUACUGCAUGCUUCUGAUGUGAGUUCAGGAGAAGACACUGGCAAGGACAGCAAAGAACAGGAGAACACUCUAGCUUCCCUGAUAGCAUUCAAGGUGCUGUCCAAACUGACUGUGAUGGCACCCUCCAGACAGACAGCGAUGCCACAUGUUCAAGAUGGCAGAAUCACUAUCAGCUUCAAUUCCUGAAUGACUGCAGAGCAAAAUUUCUUACCCGCAACAUACACUCUAUUUUCAGCCUCCCUGGACUGUUACAUAAUGAUACAUAAAAAUAUUUCUUGUGUUGAGGCAUCCCAAAUUUGAUCUAUUUGUCAUCACAGUCUAUCCUCUGAAUAUAUUUCUGAUCCAAAUAAUGCUAGAUUCAUGCGAGUUUAUAGUCCAGAGAUUUUUUUUUUUUUUUUUUUUUGAGACAGAAUCUCACUGUCUCCCAGGCCGGGGUGCAGUGGCAUAAUCUUAGCUCACUGCAACCUCCACCUCCUGGGCUCAAGUGAUCCUCCCUCCUUAGCCUCCAUGAGUAGCUGGGACCACAGGUGUGCACCACCACACCCCGCUAAUUAUUUUGUAUUUUUUGCAGAGGGGGGUUUCACCACAUUGCCCAAGCUGGUCUCAAACUCCUAGACUUAAGGGAUCUGCCCGCCUUGGCCUCCCAAAAUGCUGAAAUUACACUUGUUAGCCAUAGUAAUAGUUCCUAGCCACAGUCCGGAGAUAUUUUAAAAACUUUAGUGUGAGUUAUUUCUCUUUGCUGUAAUUCUCUCAUGCAUUUUGAAAACCUUUUCUGCCAUACAGUGGUUUUUGGGAAGUCCUUUUGGACAGACAUAUCACAGGAUGGAGAAACUAAAGAGAGAGAAUGCAUUAAAGAAAAAAUAGUACU